rnacentral:rRNA from 1 species
GAACGCUAGCUACAGGCUUAACACAUGCAAGUCGAGGGGCAGCAUGAACAUAGCUUGCUAUGUUUGAUGGCGACCGGCGCACGGGUGCGUAACGCGUAUCCAACCUUCCCGUUACUCAGGGAUAGCCUUCCGAAAGGGAGAUUAAUACCUGAUGGUGUUCAAAUUCCGCAUGUUAUUUGAACUAAAGAUUUAUCGGUAACGGAUGGGGAUGCGUGACAUUAGAUAGUAGGCGGGGUAACGGCCCACCUAGUCUACGAUGUCUAGGGGUUCUGAGAGGAAGGUCCCCCACACUGGAACUGAGACACGGUCCAGACUCCUACGGGAGGCAGCAGUGAGGAAUAUUGGUCAAUGGUCUGACGACUGAACCAGCCAUGCCGCGUGAAGGUCACGGCCCUAUGGGUCUUAAACUUCUUUUGUAAGGGAGCAAUAAGUCUCACGUGUGGGAUGAUGAGAGUACCUUACGAAUAAGCAUCGGCUAACUCCGUG